CAGAGUUGCAUGCUGAGAAUUUGAAAAAUGAAAAUGAUGCAGACACUGGGCUAUUAUGACUGGUCUAGACUUUGCUUAUAAUAUCCCUAACCGCUGGAUUCUCCUGUGGCAGCUUUUCUUGGACAGUGACUUACUUCGAUUCUUUUGAACCAGGAAUGUGUCCUCCUGCUCCUUGUUCACCUGCCAGGUUCGAGAAACUGACUGGACACUCUUUCCAUAUGGGCUAUAGCAUGGCGAUUUUUAAUGGCAUCAUAGCUGCUCUUACUGUAGUGUGGUGCCUCAUGU
rnacentral:lncRNA from 1 species